rnacentral:rRNA from 1 species
UACAGAGGGGGCAAGCGUUGUUCGGAAUUACUGGGCGUAAAGGGCGCGUAGGCGGCCUGUUAAGUCGAACGUGAAAUCCCUGGGCUCAACCCAGGAACUGCGUCCGAUACUGGCAGGCUUGAAUUCGGGAGAGGGAUGCGGAAUUCCAGGUGUAGCGGUGAAAUGCGUAGAUAUCUGGAGGAACACCGGUGGCGAAGGCGGCAUCCUGGACCGAUAUUGACGCUGAGGUGCGAAAGCGUGGGGAGCAAACAGG